GCGCACGGGUGAGUAACACGUGACUAACCUACCCUUGAGUGGGGGAUAACCUAGGGAAACCUGGGCUAAUACCGCAUAAUACCUUCGGGUCAAAGGAGCAAUUCGCUUAAGGAGGGGGUCGCGGCCGAUUAGUUAGUUGGCGGGGUAAUGGCCCACCAAGACUGUGAUCGGUAUCCGGCCUGAGAGGGCGCACGGACACACUGGAACUGAAACACGGUCCAGACUCCUACGGGAGGCAGCAGUGGGGAAUUUUGCGCAAUGGGGGAAACCCUGACGCAGCAACGUCGCGUGGAGGAUGAAGUCCCUUGGGACGUAAACUCCUUUCGAUCGGGACGAUUAUGACGGUACCGGAAGAAGAAGCCCCGGCUAACUUCGUGCCAGCAGCCGCGGUAAUACGAGGGGGGCGAGCGUUGUUCGGAAUUAUUUGGGCGUAAAGGGUGCGUAGGCGGUUUGGUAAGUCUUGUGUGAAAUCUUCGGGCUCAACUCGAAGUCUGCAUGAGAAACUGCCGGGCUUGAGUAUGGGAGAGGUGAGUGGAAUUCCCGGUGUAAGCCGGUGAAAU
rnacentral:rRNA from 1 species